GUUCACAGGUCUGUGGAUUAUGUACCAUUAUUGAGACAAACUUGUCUUGCCUUCUUUCACUCAUCUGGUUGUGUUAUCUCUGUGCUUACAGGUGGUAAACCAGCAAUUCUGGUUGUGAUGCAUCACACCUUCAACCCUAAAAAAGUUCUACCUGAAAGCAGAAGACUGGUGAACAACCCCAAUGUUGAGGUUACUGUGGACUGUCUGUUCUAUGAGGGCAAACUCCUGAAGUCCAACCGAAAUGAUAUUGCAUGGAUUGAUGUCCAGAAGUAUCUUGGAGUUUCCAAGGUCUCUAUCUUGGUAGCUGAAUUCAAGAAUUUCCUCAGUAGCAACCUUGACUUCAUUCAUGAACUUCAGAUUUUAGGUCAGUUAUUUUCUAGUCUAUCUUCUUCACUUUCCUUUGAAUUAAGAGAUAUUGAUGUUAGUAUUAUUAAACUAAAAAUACCAAUCAUUUAUGGUUGCUGUAAUGGCUCCUCCUGUCAAGACUGGAUUUUAAUGUAA
rnacentral:lncRNA from 1 species